CUGAGUGAGGGCCUUCGGGCUCGACCUCCAACCCUUUGUGAACACCAACUUGUUGCUUCGGGGGGCGACCCUGCCGUUUCGACGGCGAGCGCCCCCGGAGACCAUCAAACACUGCAUCUUUGCGUCGGAGUUUAAGUAAAUUAAACA
rnacentral:misc_RNA from 1 species